UACGUAGGGGGCUAGCGUUGUCCGGAAUUACUGGGCGUAAAGAGCUCGUAGGUGGUUUGUCGCGUUGUUCGUGAAAACUCACAGCUCAACUGUGGGCGUGCGGGCGAUACGGGCAGACUAGAGUACUGCAGGGGAGACUGGAAUUCCUGGUGUAGCGGUGGAAUGCGCAGAUAUCAGGAGGAACACCGGUGGCGAAGGCGGGUCUCUGGGCAGUAACUGACGCUGAGGAGCGAAAGCGUGGGGAGCAAACAGG
rnacentral:rRNA from 1 species